UUAAGCGACUAAGCGUACACGGUGGAUGCCCUGGCAGUCAGAGGCGAUGAAGGACGUGCUAAUCUGCGAUAAGCGUCGGUAAGGUGAUAUGAACCGUUAUAACCGGCGAUUUCCGAAUGGGGAAACCCAGUGUGAUUCGUCACACUAUCAUUAACUGAAUCCAUAGGUUAAUGAGGCGAACCGGGGGAACUGAAACAUCUAAGUACCCCGAGGAAAAGAAAUCAACCGAGAUUCCCCCAGUAGCGGCGAGCGAACGGGGAGGAGCCCAGAGCCUGAAUCAGUGUGUGUGUUAGUGGAAGCGUCUGGAAAGGCGCGCGAUACAGGGUGACAGCCCCGUACACAAAAAUGCACAUAUUGUGAGCUCGAUGAGUAGGGCGGGACACGUGGUAUCCUGUCUGAAUAUGGGGGGACCAUCCUCCAAGGCUAAAUACUCCUGACUGACCGAUAGUGAACCAGUACCGUGAGGGAAAGGCGAAAAGAACCCCGGCGAGGGGAGUGAAAAAGAACCUGAAACCGUGUACGUACAAGCAGUGGGAGCACGCUUAGGCGUGUGACUGCGUACCUUUUGUAUAAUGGGUCAGCGACUUAUAUUCUGUAGCAAGGUUAACCGAAUAGGGGAGCCGAAGGGAAACCGAGUCUUAACUGGGCGUUAAGUUGCAGGGUAUAGACCCGAAACCCGGUGAUCUAGCCAUGGGCAGGUUGAAGGUUGGGUAACACUAACUGGAGGACCGAACCGACUAAUGUUGAAAAAUUAGCGGAUGACUUGUGGCUGGGGGUGAAAGGCCAAUCAAACCGGGAGAUAGCUGGUUCUCCCCGAAAGCUAUUUAGGUAGCGCCUCGUGAAUUCAUCUCCGGGGGUAGAGCACUGUUUCGGCAAGGGGGUCAUCCCGACUUACCAACCCGAUGCAAACUGCGAAUACCGGAGAAUGUUAUCACGGGAGACACACGGCGGGUGCUAACGUCCGUCGUGAAGAGGGAAACAACCCAGACCGCCAGCUAAGGUCCCAAAGUCAUGGUUAAGUGGGAAACGAUGUGGGAAGGCCCAGACAGCCAGGAUGUUGGCUUAGAAGCAGCCAUCAUUUAAAGAAAGCGUAAUAGCUCACUGGUCGAGUCGGCCUGCGCGGAAGAUGUAACGGGGCUAAACCAUGCACCGAAGCUGCGGCAGCGACGCUUAUGCGUUGUUGGGUAGGGGAGCGUUCUGUAAGCCUGCGAAGGUGUGCUGUGAGGCAUGCUGGAGGUAUCAGAAGUGCGAAUGCUGACAUAAGUAACGAUAAAGCGGGUGAAAAGCCCGCUCGCCGGAAGACCAAGGGUUCCUGUCCAACGUUAAUCGGGGCAGGGUGAGUCGACCCCUAAGGCGAGGCCGAAAGGCGUAGUCGAUGGGAAACAGGUUAAUAUUCCUGUACUUGGUGUUACUGCGAAGGGGGGACGGAGAAGGCUAUGUUGGCCGGGCGACGGUUGUCCCGGUUUAAGCGUGUAGGCUGGUUUUCCAGGCAAAUCCGGAAAAUCAAGGCUGAGGCGUGAUGACGAGGCACUACGGUGCUGAAGCAACAAAUGCCCUGCUUCCAGGAAAAGCCUCUAAGCAUCAGGUAACAUCAAAUCGUACCCCAAACCGACACAGGUGGUCAGGUAGAGAAUACCAAGGCGCUUGAGAGAACUCGGGUGAAGGAACUAGGCAAAAUGGUGCCGUAACUUCGGGAGAAGGCACGCUGAUAUGUAGGUGAAGUCCCUUGCGGAUGGAGCUGAAAUCAGUCGAAGAUACCAGCUGGCUGCAACUGUUUAUUAAAAACACAGCACUGUGCAAACACGAAAGUGGACGUAUACGGUGUGACGCCUGCCCGGUGCCGGAAGGUUAAUUGAUGGGGUUAGCGCAAGCGAAGCUCUUGAUCGAAGCCCCGGUAAACGGCGGCCGUAACUAUAACGGUCCUAAGGUAGCGAAAUUCCUUGUCGGGUAAGUUCCGACCUGCACGAAUGGCGUAAUGAUGGCCAGGCUGUCUCCACCCGAGACUCAGUGAAAUUGAACUCGCUGUGAAGAUGCAGUGUACCCGCGGCAAGACGGAAAGACCCCGUGAACCUUUACUAUAGCUUGACACUGAACAUUGAGCCUUGAUGUGUAGGAUAGGUGGGAGGCUUUGAAGUGUGGACGCCAGUCUGCAUGGAGCCGACCUUGAAAUACCACCCUUUAAUGUUUGAUGUUCUAACGUUGACCCGUGAUCCGGGUUGCGGACAGUGUCUGGUGGGUAGUUUGACUGGGGCGGUCUCCUCCUAAAGAGUAACGGAGGAGCACGAAGGUUGGCUAAUCCUGGUCGGACAUCAGGAGGUUAGUGCAAUGGCAUAAGCCAGCUUGACUGCGAGCGUGACGGCGCGAGCAGGUGCGAAAGCAGGUCAUAGUGAUCCGGUGGUUCUGAAUGGAAGGGCCAUCGCUCAACGGAUAAAAGGUACUCCGGGGAUAACAGGCUGAUACCGCCCAAGAGUUCAUAUCGACGGCGGUGUUUGGCACCUCGAUGUCGGCUCAUCACAUCCUGGGGCUGAAGUAGGUCCCAAGGGUAUGGCUGUUCGCCAUUUAAAGUGGUACGCGAGCUGGGUUUAGAACGUCGUGAGACAGUUCGGUCCCUAUCUGCCGUGGGCGCUGGAGAACUGAGGGGGGCUGCUCCUAGUACGAGAGGACCGGAGUGGACGCAUCACUGGUGUUCGGGUUGUCAUGCCAAUGGCACUGCCCGGUAGCUAAAUGCGGAAGAGAUAAGUGCUGAAAGCAUCUAAGCACGAAACUUGCCCCGAGAUGAGUUCUCCCUGACUCCUUGAGAGUCCUGAAGGAACGUUGAAGACGACGACGUUGAUAGGCCGGGUGUGUAAGCGCAGCGAUGCGUUGAGCUAACCGGUACUAAUGAACCGUGAGGCUUAACCUU
rnacentral:rRNA from 1 species